rnacentral:lncRNA from 1 species
UAAGAUAAUUUUUGCUAUAAACUACUCUUAACUUCUUUCCAAAGGUGCUUGUAUUGUUUAUUUUUCUAAUCUAUUUUAUUUUUCUCUAUUUGUGGUCCUAUAAAGUGAAUAGAAGCCUAUUUUAUAAAAAAGUUAGCAUUAGUACUUUUAAUUUUUCUAUCCUUUGAUUAUUAUCUAUUUUUUCAAGAUAAUUCGUUACAAUAUAUUUAAAUUAAGAUCUUCAAAAAUAUGAUAUUUUCUUCAUCCUUUC